CUCCCUAUGAGAGUGAACGUGGUCCCGCCCACGACAGGCAUCCCUCUCCCUCCCUUCUGCGCCUGCGCGGCCUCCUCGGCGUCACCGGAAGCUCCGUCACAGGGCGGCAAGAUGGCGGCCCGGCCCGGUCAGAGGCGUUCGGGGCGGCGUUUCCACGGUGACCCGGCAAGGAUGGUAAUCGCAAAACAAUGGAAAAGUGAGAAAGCCCCAUCGAAAGAUGCCUGGCUGACCAAAUGGACUGAAAUAAAGGAUAUGGACAAACUUACCUUCUGAAUGAGAAAGAGCAACGGAAGAGCUAUAAGAGCCACGGACUGGUCAAACUUUGAAGACUACCUUGUUACUUCAGAGAAGGGAACCAGCAAGGUUGUAUUCAGAUUUUCUGGGAAGUUGUAGUUUAGGUAAACAUAAUGAAGAUUUUACUGAUUGCAGUACAGUCUCCUUAUCUAUAGAUUUGAUAUGCAUGGUUUUACUUACUGUAGUAAACUCUCCCCUCCAAAGUGUUUGUAGGCCUCUCUAUGUUCUUCACUGCAAUUCUGUGAUAUGUUUCUGGCCCAAAUAUCAGCGAAAUAUAAGGUUUACUUGCAUCCAUGGGGAUCUUAGAAUGGGAGGUAUAUGUAAUAGUUUAACCCUUAAGCUCUUCCUCAUUAAAAAAAUUGCAGGAAAGUCUAGUUAUUUUUCCCCCUCCACAAAUGUCUUGCAGGCAUUACAUUUUUUGUUCUUUUUAAAAUGUAAUACAAUGGUAUAAUUUCCCCCCCCCUCCCAAGCACAUCUUCUCUGUUGGUUUCUUCUUUUCUGGGUAGGAGAUAUUACUUUUUGGAGCCAACCCGGGAUUUUAUCAGUAUAUUUAUUGUAUGUGACCUCAUUUGUUUUAUGAUUUGUUUUAUUGUUGAUUGACUUGUUUUAUUGAUAUGUUUUUAUAUUGUCUGAUAUCUGGGCUUGGCCCCAUGUAAGCCGCCCUGAGUCCCUUCGGGGAGAUGGGGCGGGGUAUAAAACUAAAAUUAUUAUUAUUAUUAUUAUUAUUAUUAUUAUUAUUAUUAUUAUUAUUAUUACCUUAAGAAAAGAUGAUAAGAACUAUCUAAUUGGAACAUAAAUGAUUAGUGACAAAGAUCGGAAGUCAAUCCCCCCCCCAUUGCUAGUGUCUAUCCCCUCUCACAAUCCCUAAUCCAGACACACUUGCCCUGCCCCUGCCCUCCCUUCCCUGUUCCCCUGCCGUAUGUCGUCUUAUGUUUUAUGUUUGAUGUUUUAAAAGAAACUUCUCAAUAAAAAUGAUACAAAAAAUAAAAUAAAAAAAUAAACUUAACCAAACCUGGCUGUUUAAACAAAAUCAAAUAAACAUGUCAUCCAUAAAUCAAAAUAAAAACACACACUUCUUUACACCAACUUUGGUUGCAAAUGUAUGCAAUUUCCUUGAGAAACCUCUUCCUUCCUUCCCAGGCACCAUUUCUUAAACCCAGAAAGGGAAAACACACGUAGGAGCCGCCUGAAUUCUCACUUCUCUGUCCUUACGGCUGAGUUACAACUCGCUGAGCUUGUUUUGAUUCUGUUUCUAUACAAAACGGUGGCUCCCAUCAUGAAAUCAAUAAAGUUUAUUAUUUCACGACG